GACAGAGGGGGCAAGCGUUGCUCGGAAUCAUUGGGCGUAAAGGGUGCGUAGGCGGCGCGGUAAGUCGGGUGUGAAAUCUUGGAGCUUAACUCCGAAACUGCAUUCGAUACUGCCGUGCUUGAGGACUGGAGAGGAGACUGGAAUUUACGGUGUAGCGGUGAAAUGCGUAGAUAUCGUAAGGAAGGCCAGUGGCGAAGGCGGGUCUCUGGACAGUUCCUGACGCUGAGGCACGAAGGCCAGGGGAGCAAACGGG
rnacentral:rRNA from 1 species